CUAGCAAACGAAACCCAAAACUAUCUACCCAUCCUCAAGGUUUAUCAAGAAACAAUACAUACCAUGGACGCCAGGCAUGCCACCCUGUGUUUCCUCCUAGUUCUCGUGUUGCACGGAAAUCCUACUGCAGUGGCCGAGGAUUGCAGAUACAGGAACGAUAAGCUGCCGCUAUGCCAGGAUGUGUUGUGCAAGACGCAAUGCUGGCUGGAGGGGGCGGUGGUGAACGCCGAAGUAAAAGAGUCGAGGUGCGUGGGAUCGGGGCCAGGCUCCACCUGCUACUGCCUCUUCUGCAAAAAAGAUUGAACCUUCUUAAGGUUCCUGCCUAGCGUCAAGGCCAUCCUUAGAGACAAAUCCUACCGAGUUGAAUUGAAGACGCCAUGCAUGGAUGCUGUUAAAAAUCUUAUACUAGCCAGUAGUGUUAUCCUUUUGUGGGAAACAGUGGAUCUUUUUUAUCUAUUUUUGUGGGGGAAGGGGAUCAAACAGUGAAUCAAAAAAGGCCGGCCCCUUCUGUUGCACA